GAUGAACGCUGGCGGCGUGCUUAACACAUGCAAGUCGAACGGAAAGGCCCAAGCUUGCUUGGGUACUCGAGUGGCGAACGGGUGAGUAACACGUGGGUGAUCUGCCCUGCACUUCGGGAUAAGCCUGGGAAACUGGGUCUAAUACCGGAUAGGACCACAUUUUGGAUGGUGUGGUGGAAAGUUUUUCGGUGUGGGAUGAGCUCGCGGCCUAUCAGCUUGUUGGUGGGGUAAUGGCCUACCAAGGCGUCGACGGGUAGCCGGCCUGAGAGGGUGUACGGCCACAGUGGGACUGAGAUACGGCCCAGACUCCUACGGGAGGCAGCAGUGGGGAAUAUUGCACAAUGGGCGCAAGCCUGAGGCAGCGACGCCGCGUGGGGGAUGACGGCCUUCGGGUUGUAAACUCCUUUCGCUAGGGACGAAGCGUUUUUGUGACGGUACCUGGAGAAGAAGCACCGGCUAACUACGUG
rnacentral:rRNA from 1 species